rnacentral:pre_miRNA from 2 species
UCUUUCGCAUGAGUGAAGAAAGUGGUUUCUUAAGAUGGAAUCUAUUCCUGGUGAAGAUGCUAUGAA